GGAGAGGUGCGAGAGUGGUUGAAUCGGGCGCUCUCGAAAAGCGCUAGGCCUUUACGGGUCUCGUGGGUUCGAAUCCCACCCUCUCCGCCA
rnacentral:tRNA from 1 species